GUGUCAGCAGCCGCGGUAAUACGGAGGGUGCUAACGUUGUUCGGAUUCAUUGGGCUUAAAGGGCACGUAGGCGGUCGGCCAAGUUGGAUGUGAAAGCCCUCGGCUUAACCGAGGAACGGCAUCCAAAACUGGCCGGCUCGAGCGGAGAAAGGGAGAGCGGAACUUCUGGUGGAGCGGUGAAAUGCGUAGAUAUCAGAAGGAACGCCGGUGGCGAAAGCGGCUCUCUGGUCUCCUGCUGACGCUGAGGUGCGAAAGCCAGGGGAGCAAACGGGAUUAGAUACCCCGGUAGUCCUGGCCGUAAACGAUGGGCACUAGGUAGAGGAAAUUCCGAUAUUUUCCCUGCUGUAGCGAAAGCGUUAAGUGCCCCGCCUGGGGAGUACGGCCGCAAGGUUGAA
rnacentral:rRNA from 1 species